rnacentral:rRNA from 1 species
GCCGAACGCUGGCGGCGUGCCUAAUACAUGCAAGUCGAACGCAGUGGGGACGGGUGAGUAACACGUGGGUAACCUCCCAUCAGAGGGGAUAACACUUGGCAACAGGUGCUAAACCGAUACUGAUGGAUGGACCCGCGGUGCAUUAGCUAGUUGGUGCGGUAACGGCUCACCAAGGCCACGAUGCAUAGGCGAACUGAUAGGGUGAGCGGCCACACUAGGACUAAGACAAGGACCAGAAUCAUACGGUAGGCAGCAGAAGAGAAUCUUCGGCACAGGAAGAAAGUCUGACCGAGCAACGCGGCGUGAGUGAAGAAGGUUGUCGGAACGUAAAACUCUGUUGUUAGAGAAGCGGUAUCUAACCAGAAGGCAACGGCUAACUACGUGCCAGCAGCCGCGGUAAUUC